rnacentral:tRNA from 1 species
GAGAGUAUGGCUCAGCAGUAGAGUGCAUGCUUAGCAUGCAUGAGGUCCUGGGUUCACUACCCAGCACCUCA